rnacentral:rRNA from 1 species
UUUGACCUACGGGAGGCAGCAGUGGGGAAUAUUGCACAAUGGGGGAAACCCUGAUGCAGCAACGCCGCGUGAGUGAAGAAGUAUUUCGGUAUGUAAAGCUCUCUCAGCAGGGAAGAAGAAAGACGGUACCUGACUAAGAAGCCCCGGCUAACUACGUGCCAGCAGCCGCGGUAAUACGUAGGGGGCAAGCGUUAUCCGGAUUUACUGGGUGUAAAGGGAGCGUAGACGGCAGUGCAAGUCUGGAGUGAAAUGCGGG